rnacentral:ncRNA from 2 species
ACAAGAGUCCGAGAAAGUUAUUUACAUUUACAAUUAAAAGAAGUGAUUGGGGAAACUGGUUAGAUUCCAGUACAGUGCCGCUACGGUAAGUCCCGAUUUGCGUAAUCGCAAAGGGAACAAGUCCGAAUACCAAUUACUUUAUUAGUCCCGAG